rnacentral:rRNA from 1 species
AUGCUUAACACAUGCAAGUCGAACGAGACUUAGUAAUAAGUUAUAGUGGCGGACGGGUGCGUAACGCGUAAGAACCUACCUUUCAGAGGGGGAUAACAUCGGGAAACUGUUGAUAAUACCCCAUAAUACUGAGGAGUUAAAACCAUGUAAAAGUGGGCUGAAAGAGGGGCUUGCGUCUGAUUAGCUAGUUGGAGGGGGUAAAAGCCUCCCAAGGCCAUGAUCAGUAGCUGGUCUGAGAGGAUGAUCAGCCACACUGGGACUGAGACACGGCCCAGACUCCUACGGGAGGCAGCAGUGAGGAAUUUUCCGCAAUGGGCGAAAGCCUGACGGAGCAAUGCCGCGUGGAGGAAGAAGGUCUGUGGAUUGACCUUAAUGGUCCACUUAUUUUUGUAUUGAUGAGUUAAAGAACUAAAUAUUUAAUAUAAAAUAUCAAAUAUAAAAUAUCAAAUAUAAAAUAUCAAAUAUAAAAUAAGAAAUAAUUAUAUUAAAUUAAUAUGUCUAAAGUGAUUUUAUUAACUGCACCUCAUCCUAAAAGAAGAGCUAUGCAAAAGAUACCUAUUGAUCAACAACUAACUCAUGAACUUGCUGUUGGUUCGUUAUUAGGUGAUGGAGCUCUUGUAGGAAAAAAAGGUAAAACACCUUGCUUAGAAAUUGAACAAAAAUCCCCUACUUACGUUAUGUGGAAAAGAAGUUUGUUUGAAAAAGCAGGUAUAAUGUCAACCUUUACUCCUAGAGCUGGUACGAAAUAUCGUAUAACUAAAUUACUAAAUAAAGAUAUUAAUUUACCCUUAACAUGGAAAGCUCACAUUAAAAAUCAAAAAUGGUAUCGUGGUUUUUCUUUUACAACUAGAGCACUGUUUAGUCAAACUUGGCGAAACCUGUUUUAUAAGUCUGUUAGUGGUAAAAAAAGAGCAAGGUUUAGAAAAAGAAUUCCAGAUGAAAUAAAAGACCUUUUCUGGAGUUCACUUUCUUUAACUAUUUGGUUUUUAGAUGAUGGUUGGUGGAUUCCUGAUAAAAAAACUGUAGCCUUUUCUACUGAAGAAUGGCCAAUUAGAGAAGUAAAGCUUUUAAUAGAAACGUUACGACAAAAUUUUGGAAUAGAAUCAACAGUUUAUUUUAGUAAAGGUCAACCUCACCACAUUUAUGUACAUCCUAAUAGUUAUCCUAUUUUUUUUAAUAAUGUAGAUCCUUAUUUAGCACAAUUUAGAAAAGUUUAUCCUAGAUAUGCAGUAAGCACAGCUAUGAAAAACAAAAUAGCUCCAUCUCCUUUAACUUCAGCGGGUCAACGUUUACCUAUAGGUAGACCAAAAAAUACAAAAAUAACAAAAACUGGGUGAAUUGCAAGAAAGUCUAAGUUUUUAAAAAAAUAUGAUAACUUGCAGCCAAGCUAGUCACGUAGCCAUUGUGUGAUUAGAAGGUUCAACGACUAACAGGUGAAGCGCUACAACUAAUAAUCCUGACACGAGCGCCCAGCACUUAAAUAAGUGAAGACAUAGUCUGUUCUUACGGGAAACCGUAAGCUUGCAAAAAGAGCAAGGUUAAGUUGAUUAAAAGAACAGCUUAGCUAACAAAAAGCGUAAACUCCUUUUUUCAGAGAAGAAUAAGUGACGGUAUCUGAAGAAUAAGCUCCGGCUAACUAUGUGCCAGCAGCCGCGGUAAUACAUAGGGAGCAAGCGUUAUCCGGGAUGAUUGGGCGUAAAGCGUCUGUAGGUGGUUUAAAAAGUCUACUGUCAAAUAUCAAGGCUCAACCUUGGACAGGCGGUAGAGUACUUUUAGACUAGAGUGCGGUAGAGGUAGAGGGAAUCCCUAGCGUAACGGUGAAAUGUGUAGAUUUUAGGGAGAACACCAGCGGCGAAGGCGCUCUACUGGGCCGUAACUGACACUGAGAGACGAAAGCUAAAGGAGUGAAAAGGAUUAGAUACCCUUGUAAUUUUAGCUGUAAACGAUGGAAACUAAGUGCUGCCGAAUGCAGUGCUGUAGCUAACGCGUUAAGUUUCCCGCCUGGGGAGUAUGCUCGCAAGAGUGAAACUCAAAGGAAUUGACGGGAGUCUACACAAGAGGUGGAUUAUGUGGUUUAAUUCGAUGCAACACGAAGAACCUUACCAGGGUUUGACAUGCUCAGAAUUUUUCAGAAAUGGAAAAGUGCCAGAAAUGGAACUGGGACACAGGUGGUGCAUGGCUGUCGUCAGCUCGUGCGUUGACGUGUAUGGUUAAGUCCUGCAACGAGCGCAACCCUCGUCUUUAGUUAAUAACUCUAAAGAGACUGCCAGUGUAAACUGGAGGAAGGUGAGGAUGACGUCAAGUCAGCAUGCCCCUUACACCCUGGGCUACACACGUAAUACAAUGGUUGAUACAAUCAGAAGCAACCCUGCGAAGGCUAGCAAAUCUGCUAAAAUCAGCCUCAGUUCGGAUUGCAGGCUGCAACUCGCCUGCAUGAAGCCGGAAUCUCUAGUAAUCGCCGGUCAGC